AGCCGGCCACGGCAGACACUGGAAAGUUAGGGUUCGUAGAGGAGAGGGAGCGGCUCGAUAGGAGGAGUGAGAGAGAUUAAAGGCCGAAGUUGACGGGGUGUAAGGUUCUUGUUGAUCUUCUUCCGCGUCCGGAUUGGACUCUAGGGUUUCGUCCUCGUCGGCGCCUUGGACGAGAGAAGAGAGCAGGGAAGGGAGAGGAGGAGAGAAAGAGAGGGAGAGACGGAAGGAGACGGAGUUUCUUGUUGCCUUCCUCUUCUUCCUUGGUGCCUAGGACGAGGAUAGAAAGGAUGCCCACAUUGUUUGUCACCUCAAUAUUCCAAAGGAAUCUUCUAGUGGAGUAUAUUGUACUAUGGACUGGAUGAUCACAAACAUUUACCAGACAUCAUCUCCACUUAACAUUUAGGUACAUGUGAUAGGAAUUCAUUCCACAUAAUGCCACUAUGAAAAAGAGAGAAUCUUCACCUCCCUCAGGUGGCUUGCCAGAGAAGUCUGUAGCUACAUUUACUCAGAUGGUGGAAUACUACGAAGGUUAUGGUUGUCAUAGGGGGGGAUUCUUCAAAGUUUUGGCGAACAGGUGUCAACAUCUUUAUGUCAGAAAUCAUGUGAUUCAUGUAAACAACCAAUCAUAGUUGUACAACACCUAAAGGAUCUUGAGGGAAAAACUUAUUCGCAGAAGGACAAGUUCUUUCCCAUUUUGACUAAAAGCUCAACCUACAUUCCUUUAGAAGGUCAACAUACUGAAUUUUGGAAUUGAGAAGAUGACAGUUUCUUGGAGGAAGCAAUACCAGAUUCUGGAGGUUUCUCCGUCGCAGACUCGUUGAUGGUAUGCUCUAGCGAUGCGGUGGCUAGGUCUCUCGGCAUCUGUCAGGUAUCCUUUAUCAAAGUACUUUAUCAUUGAUUUCUGGAGACCAAGUGGCUGAAUCCUCAGUUAAAGCAAAAUGCUGUGAUGGUUCACAGAAUAAUCCCAAGGGUAUUAUUGAACGAAUAUAUCCAUUGGGUGCAGCGAUUGGUAAACCAAAAUCUUCUACUGAGGGUAUCUCUCCUGCAAAAAUUGCACAAUCUGAGUGGAAGAGUUUGAAUGAAAGUGAUAAUUCCUCCGAGUCUACUGCUAACACGAUGAGAAACUUUGAGCAGACAAUGCAAACAAACAUCAUGUGAUAGAACAAAAACUUGAGGUGUCACAGGAAACCUUGAAUCUGAGCAAAGCAGAGCUGGCCUUUACAUCUGGUGUCACUGCUAAAAAGUUGGGUAAUUUGGUUCGAUCUUCAGAGACCUCGGAGAGAUUCUCCACCAAUGUUGUUACAAACAACUGAAGUUUCGAAGUUAGCAGUAUCCCAAAAAGUUUCAGUAAAACCAUCUUCUUGUGCUUGAUCGAAAUUCUUUAUCUCAAAUGCUUCAGGCUGAUAGUAAUGAACUUCUUUAUCCCAAAAAGUUUCAGGGAUUGAAGAGGCUGUUGAAAUUUGACCGUAAAAGCAAGGGAGAGGCAAGUGCGUGACUGGUUGGUCAUGCCUCAGAAGAUCUAAAAGCAGCUGCUUACGAAAAGAACCUUGAUACAUCUUCAACUUCCCUCCACGAGAUGUAUUGUCCCCCAUGAUGUAGAUUAAGAAAAUUUCAUCAUUGUUUCUGUUCAUGCCGUGCUCUUGUACUUUUACAUGGAUCGUGCUAAUUCUAGUUUGGUCCUUAAAUUUAUAUUAAAAAUCGUGUUAUGCUGAGCAUAUACGUUCUUGAAUAAA